rnacentral:rRNA from 1 species
GCCUGAACCAGCCAAGUAGCGUGAAGGAUGACUGCCCUAUGGGUUGUAAACUUCUUUUAUAAAGGAAUAAAGUCGGGUAUGGAUACCCGUUUGCAUGUACUUUAUGAAUAAGGAUCGGCUAACUCCGUGCCAGCAGCCGCGGUAAUACGGAGGAUCCGAGCGUUAUCCGGAUUUAUUGGGUUUAAAGGGAGCGUAGAUGGAUGUUUAAGUCAGUUGUGAAAGUUUGCGGCUCAACCGUAAAAUUGCAGUUGAUACUGGAUAUCUUGAGUGCAGUUGAGGCAGGCGGAAUUCGUGGUGUAGCGGUGAAAUGCUUAGAUAUCACGAAGAACUCCGAUUGCGAAGGCAGCCUGCUAAGCUGCAACUGACAUUGAGGCUCGAAAGUGUGGGUAUCAAACAGGAUUAGAUACCCUGGUAGUCCACACGGUAAACGAUGAAUACUCGCUGUUUGCGAUAUACUGCAAGCGGCCAAGCGAAAGCGUUAAGUAUUCCACCUGGGGAGUACGCCGGCAACGGUGAAACUCAAAGGAAUUGACGGGGGCCCGCACAAGCGGAGGAACAUGUGGUUUAAUUCGAUGAUACGCGAGGAACCUUACCCGGGCUUAAAUUGCAGAUGAAUUACGGUGAAAGCCGUAAGCCGCAAGGCAUCUGUGAAGGUGCUGCAUGGUUGUCGUCAGCUCGUGCCGUGAGGUGUCGGCUUAAGUGCCAUAACGAGCGCAACCCUUGUUGUCAGUUACUAACAGGUUCCGCUGAGGACUCUGACAAGACUGCCAUCGUAAGAUGUGAGGAAGGUGGGGAUGACGUCAAAUCAGCACGGCCCUUACGUCCGGGGCUACACACGUGUUACAAUGGGGGGUACAGA